GUUUCUCUGCGUUUUUGCCUCAAUAAAAUUGCGUUGUGCUUGUAACAACUCCGCUUUGAGUAUUGGAGUUUCGGCAAUGGCGUUACUGUAACAAAUCGUGAAAUUUCGCGUCGCACAGGUUUCCGUUUUUUACUCGUUUUAAAAUAUUCACUAAGCAAUGGACAUGUCUAAUGUAGUAUCGGUUAAUGUAAAUGCGCGAGAAUAUUACAUGUAUGAAUAUUGUGCAUUAUAAGUGCACAAGAAUAUUCGCGAUUAAUGUAUCGGGUAUCGAUGUGAAGUUGUCAGCGCGUUCUACUCGUUUUUGCGUGCAAAGCAAAUGUCGGUCAUAGUGUCGGUUGUAGUGUUGGUUGUAUUGUCGGUUGUGGUGUCGGAAUGUAAUGUCGAUUAGUGCAAUGAUAAGUGUGUAAGAAUACUCGCGCGAUUACACAGAGUAUGAUCUUUGUAAUAUCGUAAGUUAGAGUACAAAUUUAUCGAGUGAUAAGUGUUUUACGUUAUUCGUCGCUUGAAGUGCAUCAUAGAUGUAAGCGGAACCAAGAUAUUGAUGUCGACUCUCCUGAUCCUGUCAACUCUCAAUGUAUCAGUUCUCAACAUAUCAGCAAAGGUAAGUGAAUAGUAUUAAGUGUUUGUUUGAUAUUUGAUUUGUUAUAAAUAUUUGUGUGUACUGAUUCGCAUAAUCAGAUUGUAAAUUUUUACAAACUCUUAUUAAUAUUUUCUUGGGUAAUACAUAUCGAAAAUACAAUUUGGUAUCUAUACGAGACUUUUUUGUAUUAAACUUUUACACUCAACAAAUACCUUACAUGUUACAUAUAUCUCUUAUACCUAUUAUAUCUCUUUUAUUUAAACGUACAAUAUCCGAUGACUUUAAGUCAUAAUAAAUACGAAAACUGAGAAAUGCGCUUAAAAGGUAAAAAGGAUGUAAUGCAAAUAAAAAUGCUAAAUGCACAUAUAUACGAAUGCAACAAAUAAUAUAUUGGAAAGCAAUCGCAAAUAUCGCGGUUCAAUUGUUCGCAGUUAAUAGCUACAUUUAAUACUUAUAAUAAGUUGCCCUAAGUACUUCGAGAAACGGUAACUCCUACGGCUAAAUGAUCUUCUUUAAGAACAUUUGAUAUAAUCGACAAAUAGCAAAAGA